UUUUUAACCUUGGAUCUGUUGUUAGAUGUUUUGGGGGUCAUAUUUUCACUCAGGACAAAAAUGAAUGUAAUCAGUGCAUUAUUGAUUUGAAUGCAAAUAUGGUUACAGCACCAUAACAG